AGUCAGCAAGCAGAGAAAACAACAAGAAAGUUGUUGGCGUUUUUCCUCAUUCGAGGACUGAAUGGAGUCUACAGUAGGAGGCACAGGAGCUGUCCAGCCCUUAUCUGAUGAAGAUAAAGAACCCUAAAGAGGAAGAUCAAGGACCCUGAAGUUGCCCAUCUACUGUGAGCACCUGGGGAGCUAACUCAGCAAGUGCUUUGUGAGCUGCCUCCCUUCUCCACCCAUCCUGCAGUGCACUCUGCCCGC